AUAAGAAGUAAGAAACCUGGAUUAAAAGUUUAUCUGACACGCUCCGUACAUGCUUAUAACCACUACAUUUGCUGCCUCCUUUAAGAACAUAUACUAUAUCACACAGAUUAUAAAAUUUACCAGUAUAGGGACCCUACAUGGAUAACCUUAUAAUCAAUGAGAUUAUCUUUUAGCUCCUCUGUAGAGGAAAGAUAUUUAGAGGGAAAAGACUGGUCUUUAUGACCUUUAUGUCCUGACCUGGCUGGUCUCUUAUAAGGCAGCACUGCCUGCAUUCUUUCAUUCAUUUAUCAAAAAAACAGAAGAGUAUGGAGUUCCUGUCAUGGUGCAGUGGUUAACGAAUCUGACUAGCACCCAUGAGGAUGCCGGGAUUGAACUGCAGCCUCGAGGGUCCUAGUUGGAUUCAUUAACCACUGAGCCACGACGGGAACUCCUAGACACCAGUUUUAUGCAGGCAAGCAUGCAGGUACCAGCAAAGGUUUUUUGUUUUUGUUUUUUUAAGCAAACAGCAUGUCUUAUUUAUUUAUAAAUUAGCACAUAAAUGCUCAUAAAUGAUUUGUAAUGUUUUGAAAUUUCAGAAAGUGGCUGUUCUAAAAAGCACUGAUAGCUUCAGUGGUGGCUUUAGAGGAAAAUCCUAGGAAAUUGCAUUCAGUUUUUUUUCUUUAUAGGUGUCCACAUCAGUUUUGGGCAUAGUCAGCCAGGACAGUUCUCUUUGUUCUUUUUUUUUUUUUUUUUUUUGUCUUUUUGCCAUUUCUUGGGCCGCUCCCUCGGCAUAUGGAGGUUCCCAGGCUAUGGGUGGAAUCGGAGCUGUAGCCACCAGCCUAUGCCAGAGCCACAGCAAUGCGGGAUUCAAGCCGCGUCUGCAACCUACACUAUAGCUCAAGGCAACGCCAGAUCCUUAACCCACUGAGCAAGGCCAGGGAUUGAUCCCACAACUUCAUGGUCCUGGUCGGAUUUGUUAAGCACUGCGCCACGAUGGGAACUCCAGUAAAGUUUAAUCCUUUGUAUUUUUCCCCCCAUUUAUAGUUUGUCUUUAUUGUACCUUGUGUAAUGUUCUCUUUUGCUUAAGUGUUGACUUUUUAAGAUAGCACCAUCUAAUAACCUCUUAGCCAGAGAUUCUAAAAAUUUUCAUCAUGAGGCAGUUUUCUAUGUUACUUUUCGAACAGAAUUCAAGGAUAGCUGUUUUUUAUUUAAAAAAAUUUUUUUAAGGAUAGCUAGUGAGGAGGUAAGGACUGAGAAUUCUAGGAAUAAAAAUGGAAGUAUUGGAGUUCCUGUUUUGGCCCAGCAGGUUAAGAACCCAACAUAGUGUCUCUGAGGAUGCAGGUUUGAUCCCUGGCCUUGCUCAGUAGGUUAAGAAUCUGGCAUUGCCUCAAACUGUGCUGUUGGAUCCAGUGUUGCUAUGGCUGUGGCCUAGGCUGGCAGCUGUAGCUCGGAUUAGACCCCUAGCCUGGGAACUUCCAUAUACUGCAAGUGUGGACCCCAAAAGGAAAAAAAAAAAAAAAAGGAAAAAGAAAAAAAAG
rnacentral:lncRNA from 1 species